AUUGAACGCUGGCGGAAUGCUUUACACAUGCAAGUCGAACGGCAGCACGGGUGCUUGCACCUGGUGGCGAGUGGCGAACGGGUGAGUAAUACAUCGGGACGUACCCAGUCGUGGGGGAUAACGUAGCGAAAGUUACGCUAAUACCGCAUACGUCCUGAGGGAGAAAGCGGGGGACCGUAAGGCCUCGCGCGAUUGGAGCGGCCGAUGGCGGAUUAGCUAGUUGGUGGGGUAAAGGCCUACCAAGGCGACGAUCCGUAGCGGGUCUGAGAGGGCGGCCCGCCACACUGGAACUGAGACACGGUCCAGACUCCUACGGGAGGCAGCAGUGGGGAAUUUUGGACAAUGGGCGAAAGCCUGAUCCAGCCAUUCCGCGUGAGUGAAGAAGGCCUUCGGGUUGUAAAGCUCUUUCGGCAGGGAAGAAACGGCUUGGGAUAAUACCCCGGGCUAAUGACGGUACCUGAAGAAGAAGCACCGGCUAACCACGUGCCAGCCGCCGCCGUAA
rnacentral:rRNA from 1 species